GGUCUUAUGCCUUAGUGGUAUAGCAUGCUGCAGUUACUUUCAGGCUGCAGGUUUGAUUCCUGCUUGUGCCA